GGAAUUGGAACCAGGUGUGAUGGAAAACAAGACAAAACCAAUGGAAAAUUAAAAGUGGAUUGGCGAUGGCAAGAAUGUCGGUGACGUCGACCACCGAACGCCGCCCGAACAAGGAGAGGCGGAAGUCGUGACAGUGCUUCCCCUAUAUCAAGACCUUAUGCACUAUGCUUUUCCGUUUGCUAACUUUUAGUAUACCACAGGUCAGCAUAGUUUACCAGUCUAACAGUCUAUCCUGCCCUCUAUCCACAAUUCAAAGUGACAAUAAUGGGACAAUACAAUUAUCCUACCUAUGCUAGCCUACAACACCAGGUGGCGCCGUUUCUGGAGGCGGUGGAUCUUCUGGACCAACUAUUGAGGAAGUCGACUAAACCAUUCCAACGUUAUUGCAACUACCUCCCCCUAGCAUGCAAGGUUUGAAAUAUGUUCUUUGCUCUUGUGGCGUUGAGUCAACAUUCUAGCCUACUCUAUGCUGCAGUGAAAGAGUCAUUUGAAUAACAGUGCAAAAGCACUGUGAUAUGAAUGUUUCAUUAGAUUUGGAUGAGUUGUGGGUCUACUCUUGGCAGUUUGUAAGGUCUAGAAAGGAACAGUAGCAGGCCAGUCUGGCUGUAUUUUUACUUUUGAUACUGAAUGCGCUGUUUGUUGAGAUAAUCAUUCACCCAAGUCGUCCUAUAAUAAUGUGGCCACAUAUGCUCCCGGCAUGCCCAGUUAUCCAGGAAAGUUUAACACGUUCUGCUUCCUCUCCGGCUAUUCUUCAAACACCUAGAACCUAACGCUUCAAUAUAGCCAAAAUAUGUAUCAUGUAACUGUUUAGAUGUAUUACCUUUUAUAUAUAUGGCAUAAACACAUCCAGUCACGAUGUUUGAAUCAGAUUAGGCUACUUCAAAAGCUUCAUGUAGGCAUACGCACAUUCAUUCAAGAAUUCCAACAUCCUCAAAAUGGCUUGACAUUAACCAGGUUUCCUUUCAACCUUUUUAUGCGAGUAAAGUAGCCUACAUGUCUGAUAGAAAAAUGUCACCACGUCAUGGGAAAGCAUGCAGUUUACUAGGAUACAGAUGCAAUAAGUUAAGAUGAACUUCACAGGGUGGUGAAACUGCACAGUGAUGAAGUUGAUGCUGCUUUCAAUAAAUAUCGAGGAUCUUGUUUUGGUGACAUGGUGAUCAAUGCUUGGCUCCCAUUUGAAAAAAGAAAGAAAAUAAUCUGGCACUUCUGUCCAUAAUAAUCUCAUCAUGUAGUAGAACUGGAGCGCACCCGCCAAUACCAGAGUGGGCACAUUCGCUACGCAACAUGUUUUGUGACAAAACCAUAAGUAAGACUUGAAAAUGUGAUGGAAACCCGGUACAUUUAUUCGAUACAUGGGAAUUUUCAUGUGCACUACAUAUUUACACACAUACUUUUAUCUUCAACAAGUACAUUUGAUGGAACACUAUGACUUUUCAAAUCACCCUCUGAUGGGAAAAUGCUCCAUGGGUUCCCUUAGCUGGUAAUUGCCUGCAUUUGGCUGAGAUUUUUUUAAAUUAAAGCAGAUAAAUAAAAUUGUAGCAGGACAAAUUGUCCAGGAGAGGCUGUCUAUCAUAGCCUACACCCCGAAUUGGCGCUUCAGUACCAAUCUCUCUCGCCUUGCUCAGACAUGCGCCUGCUGCUGAGGAGAGGGAGAGAGAGAGGAACAGAGGAGCUUGGCCUAGGCUACAGAUACUUGCAAAGAUGGAGGCCUUUUUCAAGUCAACCAAAAGUUAGAUGAAAAAGAGGAUGUCUAUAUUGAAAAGCCUACAAGAGGAAUUUUAUACGAGUUUUAAUAUUGUAGUGGACUAAGAUAAAAAGAAUGCAGACUACUGUGCAACUCCCUAUUCAGGUAGGAUGCAAUUUUGGAACUAAAAUGUAGUUUAAUCAUUUAGUUUAAUCAUCAGAGUUUUAUCAUAAUAAUAAUUAUUGUAUAUCAUUGUUAUUAUUGUAAGCCUAUUUAUUAAUCGAAAACAGUUCUUUAAAUAUGCAAAAUCUGUUUUGUUUAAUUCUGUUGAGACAUUUUCAUUGGCUAAAUUAAAUGUUAACUGUCUUUUAAUUUUGAGCUCCGUCUUUAGUUUAAGAUAUGUUAUUUAUUUUACAACAGACCUACUUAUAACCUUAGCCUAUUUCUGUCAUUUUUGGUAUGGUAGCCACUUGUCUUUGUUAGUAAUUGCUGCAAUAUAGCUUGUUCAAAACUUUUGUUAAGGUUUAAACCCGUUUGCAAGUGUUUUGUUUCAUUCUGUUGAGCAAUUUCCUUCAGCCAAAGUAUCCUGCAGUCAAAUGACUUAGUGGCCUCAUGGGUGGAAUGUUACUAAUAUUUUUCAUGAUUUCAUAAUUAAUACACUUAAAAAAAAAAAAGCUGCAGAUAAUCUGGUGUUUCUAUGUCAAACUGUUUUGUUAUAUUUCAGUCUUCUGUGAUAUGUAUAAAGUGUAAUAUUUGUAUGCAAACUCAAAAUGUAAUACAUUUCAUCUCUAUAUCUGACAUUGUACAGGUGUCUUCUUUUUUUAAGCCCAUAACCAUGUGUUUGAGGUGAAUACUUUUGUUUCAAAGUACACUUGUUUAAGACUACCAAGAAACACUCUGUGUGACCCUGAUUUAGCCCGCUGCAGUAAAAGGUUUUUCAGUUCCAACUGUAAUGCUGUGUUUGCCACAAUAUAAUAGUCCGCUCAUAUUUUCACUAUAAACAAUGACUUGACUCACUUUUUGAUAUUACCC
rnacentral:lncRNA from 1 species